rnacentral:rRNA from 1 species
GAUGAACGCUAGCGACAGGCUUAACACAUGCAAGUCGAGGGGCAGCGGGGGUAGCAAUACCCGCCGGCGACCGGCGCACGGGUGAGUCACGCGUAUGCAACUUACCUAUCAGAGGGGGAUAACCCGGCGAAAGUCGGACUAAUACCGCGUGAAGCAGGGAUCCCGCAUGGGAAUAUUUGCUAAAGAUUCAUCGCUGAUAGAUAGGCAUGCGUUCCAUUAGGCAGUUGGCGGGGUAACGGCCCACCAAACCGACGAUGGAUAGGGGUUCUGAGAGGAAGGUCCCCCACAUUGGUACUGAGACACGGACCAAACUCCUACGGGAGGCAGCAGUGAGGAAUAUUGGUCAAUGGCCGAGAGGCUGAACCAGCCAAAGUCGCGUGAGGGAUGAAGGUUCUAUGGAUCGUAAACCUCUUUUAAUAAGGGAAUAAAGUGCGGGACGUGUCCCGUUUUGUAUGUACCCUUAUGAAUAAGGAUCGGCUAACUCCGUGCCAGCCGCCGCGGUAAC